rnacentral:tRNA from 1 species
AGUGCGAUGGCAGAAUGGUCAUGCGGUGGAUUGCAAAUCCACGUCAAUAUGGGUUCGAGUCCCAUUCGCACUU